ACUGCUGCCGCCAAGAAGGCUCCUGCCAAGGAGGAAGAGGAGGAAGAUGAAGAGGAGUCUGACAAGUCAAAGUCCGAGGUCAAUGAUGAGGAUGAUGACGAGGGUAGUGAGGAGGUAUACACAUAUCUGCCUUUGAUGAGAAUGCUAUUCUGCUCAUGCUUUUAGAAAAGUUGCAUUGGUAUAGGCUACUCUAGGUACUAGCAGAUUGAAUUAUUAUCUGACUAGUAGAUUUUACUCUCUUGGUAGAUGCUAAGUAUAGCGGUGGAUCUCCCUGUUGAGAUGAUUUGUCCUGUGGAGGCUAAAACCUGCAUUGCAUGCUGUGUUUGCAGGAGGAAGACGAUGACGAGUGAACUCAGCUGAAGAUGAUGUGCUCCACUGAACGAUGGAGUGGUGAAUGCAAAGGCCCCGUGGCGGGAAUUAUAAGGAGCCUAUCCUAUCUACUAGAAUUAUUCAGUUUCACUUCACAUCGUGAUGUUUUACUUUUGUCGUCCUAUAACGGAUAGCGCUCCUUGUUGGCGCCACCGGCGUCUGGCGGGAUGCAAUGCCCCGCUUGUUACCUAGAUUACUGUUUCCAUCGUCAUCGGCUAAUAUUGUGAUAAUAUCAGUUUGGGUAAUGUUAGAUGAAGUAAUCAUUGUUGUCUUUGGUUAGUCUCGGUGUUGUCCCGCUCCAUGAUGCUUGGUUUUGACUGGCGCUGUGCUUGGUGACAUAUAUGCCUGUUUUUGUUGUGGGAUUCGUUUGGGUUGUUGCUGCAC
rnacentral:lncRNA from 1 species